GGGUGAGUAACACGUGGGUAACCUGCCUCAAAGUGGGGAAUAGCCCUCCGAAAGGAGGAUUAAUACCGCAUAACGUAAGAGUAUCGCAUGGUACUUUUACCAAAGAUUUAUCGCUUUGAGAUGGACCCGCGGCGCAUUAGCUAGUUGGUGAGGUAAUGGCUCACCAAGGCAACGAUGCGUAGCCGACCUGAGAGGGUGAUCGGCCACAUUGGAACUGAGACACGGUCCAGACUCCUACGGGAGGCAGCAGUGGGGAAUAUUGCGCAAUGGGGGAAACCCUGACGCAGCAACGCCGCGUGAGUGAUGAAGGUCUUCGGA
rnacentral:rRNA from 1 species